AGCGAACGCUGGCGGCAGGCUUAACACAUGCAAGUCGAACGGUCCUUCGGGAUAGUGGCGGACGGGUGAGUAACACGUGGGAACGUACCCUUAGGUUCGGAACAACACAGGGAAACUUGUGCUAAUACCGGAUAAGCCCUUCGGGGGAAAGAUUUAUCGCCUUUGGAGCGGCCCGCGUCUGAUUAGCUUGUUGGUGAGGUAAUGGCUCACCAAGGCUACGAUCAGUAGCUGGUCUGAGAGGAUGGCCAGCCACACUGGGACUGGGACACGGCCCAGACUCCUACGGGAGGCAGCAGUGGGGAAUCUUGCGCAAUGGGCGAAAGCCUGACGCAGCCAUGCCGCGUGGAUGAUGAAGGUCUUAGGAUUGUAGAAUCCUUUCACCGGGGACGAUAAUGACGGUACCCGGAGAAGAAGCCCCGGCUAACUUCGUGCCAGCCGCCGCCGUAA
rnacentral:rRNA from 1 species